rnacentral:rRNA from 16 species
GACUCUCGGCAACGGAUAUCUCGGCUCUCGCAUCGAUGAAGAACGUAGCGAAAUGCGAUACCUGGUGUGAAUUGCAGAAUCCCUAAAACCAUCGAGUCUUUGAACGCAAGUUGCGCCCGAGGCCACUCGGCCGAGGGCACGCCUGCCUGGGCGUCA